AUACAUUUAAGUUCUAGGUCGCCCACCAGUAGAAUGCGGGAAUACAUUUAAGUUCUAGGUCACCCACCAGUAUAAUGCGGGAAUACUUUUCAGCUCUAGGUCGCCCACCAGUAAAUGCGGGAAUACUUUAAGUUCUAGGUCGCCCACCAGUAAAAUGCGGGAAUACUUUUAAGUUCUAGGUCGCCCACCAGUAAAAUGCGGGAAUACAUUUAAGUUCUAGGUCACCCACCAGUAAAAUGCGGGAAUACAUUUAAGUUCUAGGUCCCCCACCAGUAAAAUGCGGGAAUACUUUAAGUUCUAGGUCGCCCACCAGUAUAAUGCGGGAAUACUUU
rnacentral:lncRNA from 1 species